rnacentral:rRNA from 1 species
UGGGGAAUAUUGGACAAUGCGGGAAACCGUGAUCCAGCAAUGCCGCGUGAGUGAUGAAGGCCUUAGGGUUGUAAAGCUCUUUUACCAGGGAUGAUAAUGACAGUACCUGGUAAAGAAACCCCGGCUAACUCCGUGCCAGCAGCCGCGGUAAUACGGAGGGGGUUAGCGUUGUUCGGAAUUACUGGGCGUAAAGCGCACGUAGGCGGACUAUUAAGUCAGGGGUGAAAUCCCGGGGCUCAACCCCGGAACUGCCUUUGAUACUGGUAGUCUUGAGUUCGAGAGAGGUGAGUGGAAUUCCGAGUGUAGAGGUGAAAUUCGUAGAUAUUCGGAGGAACACCAGUGGCGAAGGCGGCUCACUGGCUCGAUACUGACGCUGAGGUGCGAAAGCGUGGGGAGCAAACAGGAUUAGAUACCCCUGUAGUCC